UACGGAGGGUGCGAGCGUUAAUCGGAAUUACUGGGCGUAAAGGGUGCGUAGGUGGUUUGAUAAGUUAUCUGUGAAAGCCCUGGCUCAACCUGGGAAGGCCAGAUAAGACUGUUAGACUGGAGUAUGGGAGAGGUAGUGGAAUUUCCGGUGUAGCGGUGAAAUGCGUAGAGAUCGGAAGAACACCAGUGGCGAAGGCGGCUACCUGGCCUGAUACUGACACUGAAGCACGAAAGCGUGGGGAGCAAACAGG
rnacentral:rRNA from 1 species